GAUGAACGCUAGCGGCAGGCUUAAUACAUGCAAGUCGAGGGGCAUCAAGGUACACGAAAGUGUAUUGUUGGCGACCGGCGGACGGGUGAGUAAUAGGUAGGUAACCUACCUCAUACUGAGGCAUAGCUGGGAGAAAUUCCAGGUAAUUCCUCAUGAGGUUAUAUGACACAUGUGAUAUAAUCAAAGGUAUCGCAAGGUACUGGUAUGAGAUGGGCUUACUGACCAUUAGCUAGUUGGUGAGAUAAGAGCUCACCAAGGCGAAGAUGGUUAGGGGUUUUGAGAGAGAGAUCCCCCACAUUGGAACUGAGAUACGGUCCAGACUCCUACGGGAGGCAGCAGUAGGGAAUAUUGGGCAAUGGGCGGAAGCCUGACCCAGCCAUGCCGCGUGAAGGAAGACGGCCUUAUGGGUUGUAAACUUCUUAGUACUGGGACGACGUAAGUAGGUACCCUUAGUAGAAGGUAACGUCUAAUACGUAGCUAGCACGCGUAAAAGCUACGCUAAC
rnacentral:rRNA from 1 species